AAAAUGGGAACUGGCAGCGGCUUGCUGGAAUGCUGGGGUUUCUCCACACUCGGAUACUACUGCAAACAUUUCCCGCUGCUGCUAAUGCUGGUUCAGCUCCUCUGGAGGUAGCUGUGGAAGGAGCCUGACUGCUUCUGUUGUUACUGGCACUUAAAAUCUCUAGACCUUCUCUGAAACACACAUUCAGAGCUUCGGGCCAGUUUUAUUGAUACAACUUGGUUUACUGGUUGGAGCAGGUAGAGGAAGAGAAAUUUUUAAAAGGAGCUUAGAAAUUGGAGUUUUAAUGCCUUCGUUUCCUCUUGGUCUCAUACUGGCUGGUAUACUAAGAGAGAGGCAAAUUGAUUCAGAUGGCAGAAGUGCACCGAUGACCCGGCCUCAUUUUGUUCACUUUGGCUGCGUGCUGAUUACUCUCAGAGGCUCCCUGCCUUCAAUACUUACACCUUUGUGCUGACCCAAGCAUGUCAGGCCUCAAGUCCUCCUUCCUGUGGCGUGGGGAGGGACAGGGAGCUGAAGGGCCAGCCCAGGGGCAGGACAAGUGAGCUCCCAAUCCCCUUGCAAACGCCAGGCUCUGCAAGGCCUCAAGCGCUGCUGCAUGCUGCACGUGAAGGCUGGCACCAUCUCCGUGCUGCUGCCAUCCUGGCCAGAAAUGUGGCAAUUUCCUUAGGAAUGAAUCACUAACAGAAAACAAACAAGAGCUAUUUGAGAAGUUUCUCCUUCCCUCUAAAUGUCCUGUCCAGUAUCAUAUUCCUGACAGUUUAUUCCUCAAGAAUUUAGUCAUCUAAGGUUUCAGUGACUCAUCUGAUGAACCUUCUACCCAUUUCCUGGAAAGAGUCCUGUGCAGUUCCAGUCUCAUUCUGCCUACAUUUUCAUAUAUUCCAGCUUUCCACCAUUUUAAGGGUGAGGGAGAGGCAAAAAUAUUUUGAAUGCACUGAAUGUGCAAUGUAACCGGAAAACAGAGUGUUGAAAGAAACAUCUGGAAAACAAAGAUGGGCCCUGAAUCACAGAGUCUCUUUUGGAAGUAGCUGCCUGUUGGACUGACAGCUGGAUAGAAGAAAAGGAGCUGCUGUUAUAAGAGCUGUGUGGUACAAUAUGGCCAUGAAUUUGCCAGGGCUGUACCCUAUAAAAUGAAGAUGAAAACACAUCAUUGCAUAGGUGUGACUCACUCUGGGGAAUUGCUUCUGAUGACAAGUACUCUGACACAAACCGUUGAAUGAAUUGGGCUGGAUGGGAACCAACACAGACAUUUUACAUAUUUGGGCCAAUCUGAAAGACACUUCUGUGCAGAAAACAACUGCUUCCUUUCCUGAUGUAACGGAAAUGCUAAGUCACGGCUUGAACCAGUGAUUGAGCACCUGGUGGGAAGGCAGGGCCAACCCAGGGGAGCUCAGGUGCAAGCAAUGCGCCUGAGUGACUGGAAGGGCUGGAGCCAGGAUCCACCCCUUCCCAAACCUCAUUUAAGGGUUGGCAGUGGAGGUGAGGGCAUCCUGCUGGAAAUCCCUGCCUACUGGAGGCCUUCCAAAGGUAACCAAAGGUGGGCCAGGACCUGAAUCUCCCCGAACUUGAUGGGAAAAGGAACUGUGCAUCCAAGCUUCAUGGCAGGCCCUUCUCCCUACUGUGCAACAAAAACCUGAGUCCCUUCUCAGUAAGUGGGGGUGUUGGGCAUAUGCCAGGAUAGAGAAUGUGAACAGGCAGGACCUCAUAAUUCCUUGGAGGGUGCCACCAGUAGAUGCAUGCCCUGAAGGACAGCAGCACUGAGCCCCAUGGAGAGUUUAUGGGAGAGUGGGUUUAUGGAGGUGUCUGGGGUACAAAGGGCCUCCAAUGCUCUGUAACACAGUGACAUGUGUUGGCCCUAAGGCACUUACUGGUGCAUGAGCCUAUGUGUUGCCAGCAGCCAUGCCGCAACAGAAACUGGUAAAACUUUGGAGUAAUGUGGUGAGUUCAGUCCUGCAACAGGGUUAGAAAGUCAGUCAGACAGGUAAGAAAUAGGCUCAAAAAUAAUAAGGUAAGAGAAAAGGGAGACAGUCUUCUGCCUUCUCAAGAUGCCUUUUGCUUUGGAAAGGGGGAAUCAAGCCAUUGAAAAAGAGCUUGAAGACUACUCCACAUCCACAAUCUACAACCCUGGCAUAGUUUCCCUGUGUCCUAAAGCAGAGGCAAAAAUAGGAGGUGAAUAUAUUCAUUACCACAAACUGCAUAGUGAAACCAUCAGAAUGGGUGUACUAAAAAAAGAGAUGAAACCUUUGCUUACGAAUAGACCUAAAAGAACUGAAUACAUGUGUACAGAGGGAUCAUUUUCCACUACCUACAAGAGGAAAAAUCUCCGGGGAAGUGGCUGAUGCCAAAUAUUUUCUUAUGCUUCAUAUGUCAGCAGGGUCUGGCAGAAGCCCUUAAAAAACAGAACACACAUUUUGUGCAAAUUGAGAAUCACAGUUUCUGGUGAUUUAGAUUGCUUCACCAAACUUGAGACAUUUCUCCAAAAAUACAGCAGAUGUUUGAUGAUGGACCAAGUUUUCAGCAUUUACACAGAUCAGAUGAUGUUAAGAUCAGCAGAAAAAAAAAACACAGAAUAACAUGGUAAAGAACUUCAGAGCUGCCUGAGAAGAAACUAAGCUGGCUAGACAGACAAAAAUGCUAAUUUCUCACAGCAGCUAUAAAACACUGGGGAGAGACAUUGUCAGAGCCAGGUACACAGCAAGGUUACAGAGGAGCUGAGACGCAUGCAGAAGCAGCGGGCACAAGGACUUGCUGAAACGAGAGCCCUAGGAAACAUGUGUAACUUGGUUGUGUGACCUGCCAACCCCAGGGCACUGUUAUAAGACAUCCAGCUGACUCUGACUACAAAUGAUAACAACUGCAGAAAAUGAAAGAGGUCAUUGAAGAGGGUGCAGCCCUAUGGUAUCUUAAUGGCACACACGAGACAGGGUUGUCCCCAGAAGAGAACUGAGCUAAUCCUCUUGCUAUAUAGUCAGAACUGGAGGACAGCAAUUUCUGUGCAAUGAAUACUAACAAAACCUGAGUGUCAGAGAGGAAGGAUUUGGCAUCUGUCCAUGAAUGUAAAAAGUUUCCUGUAUUAUUAUUUAAGAGAACUGACCAUAAGCCACUUGCUGCAGUUGCCAAAAUGGCCUGGCAAACCCCCUCUCCUCACAAACACAAAUAAUUUUUUUUCACUUAGAAAUUUAUGAUUUGCAGACUGGGAGGGAUUUGGCAGGUUCAAACUUAAUCCCUAGAGCAUUUGAUGAAAAUACAAUGAUGCAAAGUCCAGAGCUAGAUUUUGUAGGUGAUGAUUUGCUUAAAAAUGGUGGGGAUGACAUCCAGCAGAAAGUACAGGAGACUAUCACAGAACAGUCUCAGCUUUGUUACUGACUUCAGAUAAAGUAUGAAUGUACAAAAAAUGAUAUAACCUCUCUUGAUUGUUAUUUUCUAUUUGAGUAAAGGUAACUUUACUAUAAGGAACUAGAACUAAGAAGAUGGCAGGGUACGUCAAGCUUCUCAUUACUAUAUGUACUGUACCCGCCAAGGGAAACAAGCUCUGACAACAUAGCAGGAAUAAAUAAAUGCAAGAGGUCUGCAGUAUAGUACAGAUUUAGCUCUACUACCCGAGCUUCAUUAUUCCUCAUCAAACGAGUAGGUAGGAAAUAGUAUCAAAAGAAGUUGGCAACUACUGAGAAAAUGUGUGGAAUUAGGCUGUUUUAGGUCUCUUAUAUCAAGGUGGAACCCAUGAAGGAAGUGCGUCAACUACUGACAUUCCAUUUGAUGGAAAAAUAAAAUAAAAUUCUUUUAGUUCCUUUAGUCUCUUAGUUCCCUCCCAUCUUCAGGAGUUCCCUUUAAGUCACGGGUGUUUGGAAGAAGAGCAGAGAAAGAGUUCAGGACACAGCAAACUCCUAACAAAAUGACCUGCCACCCCUAACAACUGUAGCAGCGAUUUUCCAGAGAUGCAAGCGAUACCGCCAGUUCCUCAAGAUUCACCAAGCAGGGGGUCACAUGUUAUUGGUUGUAAUUGUUUGCAGUCACAUAUUAACACAUCUCUGAAUUUUGAUUUAAAAAACUUGGUGGUUGGAGGACCUCUGGCAUUAACAACUGCCCUUUCCAGUUUGUGAAUCUGAAUCAGGUGCUGCAAAGCCCUCAUUUUACUGCGAACAGCUGGAUGAAACCAAAUGCAUAACAAAGCAAAUCUUUCACAAGCAGCUUAAGCAGUGGAUGCACAAUGAGGACAAUUGCAUUUCAGUCCAGAUGUAGUUGCACUUAAGCCACAGGGAAGUAAUUCAUUUACAUGCAAACUUCUAAGUACUUUGGGAUGAAAAUACUAUACAGAAUCAGUUUAAUACACUCUACUUACGUGACAAACUCCCAUUUUGUAUUAUUGUUUUCCUAGUUUUGCUGUGCCAAUCAUACUGCAAUCCCUUGUCUUCAUUCUGAUCGUGCUGGAACAGCAGGCAGAUACUUUCAAAAAAGCCAGCAGAAUUAAAAACUUGCAAUGGAAAUUGUUCCUAUGCGUGCAGCCUGCCCAUGCUCAGAAACUGUUAAUGUUCCAUUUCUCUAUGCUUGGCUAACAAGUGGCUGCCAAUAUUCUCAUGGCCUUAAUGUGGCUUUGUGUAUUCAGUGUACUUUACUCAUUAGGUAGCAUGUCCUAGGCACUGUUUUGUGGUGCACGAGCAUCUCUUUCAGGGUCCCUCCUGCCUUCGCUUUCUACCAUGAUGCUUUCCUGCCUCAGCAGAAACAACAAACCUACACACCAACAAUUGCAAAUUCUUCCUGAUUUGAAAAGUCUUCUGGUACAAUUUGGUAACUUGCUCUAUCCCUUUUUGCUGAACCCUGCACAAAUGUCUGAAGUGACUGUGUUACCUACUAGUUAAACAAGGAAAUUAGAAGCCCUGGACCACCUUUGGUUGUGUACAAUACUACUGAAACUAGAUCUCACAUGAUGUCUAAAUUAAGUAUGUGUUGACUGCCUAAGGCAGCUUCACCCCAAAUCGAAUGCCAUUGUGUCAUGCAAUGGCUGCACAGCCUCCCAUCUUUUGUUUCCUCAUCUCUAACACUCAUCCAUCCAAAGGAUGUACUGAAAGUUCACUGGCAUUUCAGAAGACUUUUGAGAUUCUUGGAAGAACAAUCUAGUAUGAACAGAAGGCAGCUGAUACUAUUUCUUCCUUUUUUAGUGACGUCCCUCUGCUGUUGAUAUUGGGCUCUCACAUUCCUGAGCUAAGCUUGCUUGAGGGAUUUGAUUUUGGUUGGGCUUAAAAUCUGUUUUCUUCCUCAGAGAGGAUGCUGGAAUACACCUUUUAGUACAGUAAAUCUCAAAUGCUCGGGAACCUUGCAUUCAAGGUCCCUGCAAACUGCCUUCAUCUGACCUUCAUGUUCAUCUUUCUUAAUAUACUCAAACAAGGAAAGCUCGAACAGUUCAAUGCAAGCAUGUUCUGCACACCCUGUAGCCUUGUGCAAUUUGAACAAAUGAUUUAGCAUAGAUUAGAAGGUUUGGUUUAUGGCUAAAAAUCUGCAAUUAGAUACCCAUGUGAUUCCAGUUUUUGACAGGGAGAUAUAGUCCCAAAUUUGAAUAUAGAUUUCCACUUCAGGACCAGAGCUGUAUGUCUACACACCUUCUAGAGGCCUUGUAAAUACAAUCUCCUCUUUGUUUCUCCACCUAUAAAACUGGGAUAGUAAUAAACGUGUUUAGAGAAGUUCACUUCUAGAAGUUUUUACAAAGGUUAAAUGUUGCUUGUUUCAAUCUUGUUCCAUUAUGAAGUAGUCCUGUAAUGCUUCCAUCCUCUGUUAAAGAGAGUUCUUCUCUUGCAGACUUUAUGUUACUUAAUUAAAUUGUACCGGGUUGUUUCACGAGCUGGCCUCUCUUUUGGCUUUUUGCAGUUACAGAGUGAUGGAAGAAGGGUGUUUAGAGAGCAAGUAACAGUUUUGCAAGUAAAAGAAAGAGAAUUACUGACAAAAUGUUUCAGGCGAUGUUUCCAUAUAUAACUCUUCCUGGCUGUGCUCUCUAAGCAGCUCUGUCUGCAAUAGCCCUUCUUUCAUGUUGUGUCUUUGACAGAACAACUCCCAUUCAAAAAGCAUCAGCAAACUCUAGAAGCACACCCACAUGUUAGGUGCUCAAGCACAUUCCCUGUAGCUCUUGGACUUCCCCCUCUGCAGCGAGGAUCAACUUGGUGAUACCACUGUGAAUGGAUGAGUGGGAGAAAGACAUUAUCAGUAACAGUGGGUAAAGCAAAUGACCGUUUGCAUUAAGAUGGUGUCUGGCCUAGUCCAUGGCUUUCCAUGAGGAUAUCGGUGCUAAAGCAUCUUCUGGGCAGGGCAGAGACUUCAACUGAACUGAAAUAAUCCUUGGGGAUCCAGGAUGAGGGCACCAGAAGAGCUCUGUACACACGGGGCAGCGGAGGGGCCCCGCUGGCUGCAGCAACAGAACCGGGGCCUAUGGGAGGCCUCAGCGCAGGAGAAAUCACACCUGUCUCUCCUAUGGUUGUGUAGAGCUCGGCUGGGGAAGUGGGCUCGUUACACUGGCUCUGCCGUCAGCUGGUCUGUUUGGAAGUCAUGCUUGGGCUGCUCUGAGACACGGCAGUUCCCUUCAACACGCACAGUCACACAUAGCUAAUGGAACCACGAUUAUUACAGCAAUUUAGGAAAAAAAAGGAAAGCAUGUAUUGCCAGGUUGGAUAAAACGUAGGGCUUGACGUGGGCAGAGCUCCUGCCAGCUGAAGUGUUUGCACCUGGUCUUACUGGAAAUCCAUGGGGCAGAAGAUUCUUGCUGAAGUAUUUGUGUUGCCAUCAGCAUGGCAGCAACUCGCCCGCACGUACUCAGACACCCAGGAGGCCAGGGCCCAGGGCUCUUCGAGGAGGUGUGAGCAGACACUUCCCGCAGACAGUAUGCACAGCAAGAGCUCAAAAAACAUCAACUCUGCAGAGAAAAGUCAAAAAUCCCCACUGCUUUGGGCAUGGAAGACAGAACUGGACAAAACAGGAUCAGCUUCUCCAGGCACUGACUACAGCCUGUAGUUAGAGGAAAGUGGACAUAAAACAUUUCUGGCUCAGUUCAUCAAACUUCAUCAGGCUCUUUGUUACAAGGGCAAUACUAAGAGAGCCUGAAUUUGACAACCAUCUGUGGCCUCCUCCAGAAUUGGGCAGCUGUCUUGUCCCUGACCUCGGUUGUGAGUCCAGUGUCGUCGCUGCCUCCACUUGAGCCUUCUGAAGCUGUAUUCUUGCCCUCUGAGCCUGGGACUGUCUACAGACACCUAACAGUGCUGAGUAAGGGGCUUCCAUGCUGGAGACUCCACAACUCAGGACAGGAGCUGCACUGUUGCAGUAACAACAUUGUUCAGACCUCUAACCUCUCUGACUACAUGAAAUCAGCAUGGUGAAGACAUCUGGUAAAAAAGUAGCACUUUGGUAAAAUACCUCCCAUCCUCACCAAGCAUUAAGGACACUCAGCCCCUUUGGAAGGUUCACCCAUGGGUCCACAUGUUCUACAGCUAUGUGCCACAACAUGGUCCCCUUCUUUUUUGGGAAUUAGAGCCUGAAGAGGUCAGGAGCUCCUAUCACACCAAAUGAAGCUGUGGCAGACAGUUCGAAAUUAUUAAUGUCUCUUAAUACUAAGUGCACUCAGGAACCAAUUCAGCCUGCAGCACGCAGGCUGUGCAACAACAGGGUCCCAAAGGGGUUUCAGAAACAAAUCCCACUAAGGAGUCUGAAGCAGUAAUUCUGUUUGCACUGACACUUUUAUCUCUCGCAUUGACAGAGGAUACACAUGGUCUUGAAUCCCUGCACUUGCAAGCGCAUCCACCCCUCUCUUGCUGUUUCAGGUACUUCCCUGGGAGAGAGACAGCUGUCCAAGCCAAAAGCUUCAUUUUAUACACAUCCAAGAAGACAGUUUUUCAGUUCAGGAGGAGACUGGAAACUUUCAGUUAUAUGGCAAGAGCAUCACACCUCCACAUCCACAGUCUGACUUGUGUAAGGAUUCUCAUUCUGUCAUUGUAAAGACUGCAAUUCAUUAACAUAGCUCUGCUAUGCACAGUUUGAUAUUUAUCUUUAACCACAUCCCUUUAAAACUAACCUUACUGACAGCUUAUUUCUGUAAGCUUCCAUUUUACUUUUCAUUUAGUUUCAUUCCUGUAUGACUGUGGUAGCUCCUAGCACUGGCUCCUCUGGCUACAGACCACUGGCACAACUGGCUCACAGACAGCAACUCUGACUUGGAUGAUGUGCUAAAAGGUUCUUGUUUGCAUGCAGUUUCAAUUUUGUUUCAAGAGGAACUGAUGCUGACUUUUUGCUCCUGUUUCAGCAUUUGGCAGAACCACAUAAUUUUUGUAUGUUGUAGGAAACAGGAAGAAAGUUUUAACUUCAACUGCUUAGGCUGUACAUGCACAAACAACACGCAUAAAGCGUGUGCUACUCCUGUUCAUCUACUCCACACCUCAUUUCUUCUGUUCUCUUAACUCUUCUGGGAAUGUAUUUCUCUCACUUCUGCUCAUCUCUCUCCCACACUCAUAGGCAUGCACUGAUUUGUUAUUGCUAGGUCACUUGUGAUUACAGGUCUGGAUACACUAGUUUAUUGCAGGGUUGUCUCUGGUUUGAUAGGCUGUUUGCUGUUUUGUUAUUACAGUGCUAAACCUCAUUCUCCCUGUCUUCCAGGUCACUAUCUUUCACACAAACACACAAAUCACCACAACAUAUUUAUUUUGAAACGACAAACACAAAAAUUGCAUUGGAGUCUGCAAACAAUUUGGAAGAGAAUGAGGGAAAAAGAAAAGGCUAUGGGUCCUGGAAAUGCCAGCCUCCACGCCCUGCCUGACUCCUCUGAGUGGCUGACAUUUUUUCUGUGAGUGGAGUGUAAAGCUUCAAGUGCUGCAAAAGCUGCAUGUCCAUUUGCUUUGCUUGGCUGCAGAAGCCCAGGCGCAGCAGAUUGAUCUGGGAAGCUGUUAGUUAGGGUUGGGGAAAACCACCGGCCCUUUUGGCUGUACAAACACUGGCAAUAGCUGUUAUGAGUUAGAUUUGGUCCCCUAGAGCAACAGGCACGAAGAACUGAAAAUCUCUCAAAAUUAUUCUUGGUGUAUUUACACUUAUCAAACAUAACAGCAAAAACUCUCAAACCAAGAAAUGUAUUUUGAGUCCCUUCCAAAAAGGAGGGGAUUUCAAAACCAAAACUACACCUAUCCUCCCAGCAGACAGAAUUUCUGAUCUAUUUUGAAAAGUCCUAGGUAUACCCUCACUGCAUUCCUCCUCCUCCCCCGCCCACCAAAGAAAGUUAAGACAAACUUCUGGGCUUAGCUUAAAAGCCACAAAACUUCCUCCAUGUAUGUAUGCUCCAGCUCUACUGCAGAUAUUUGGAGUUACAUAAAACCGGGCAGUUAGUGAUUCUGGCAGCUGAAAAAUUAGAAAGUUCAGGGGCUGAGGAGGGCGUGGGCUGAGCUGAAGUUUUCCAGAGCGCCAAACCAGAUGGAGCUGAGGAAAAAUGCUUCUCUCUCGAGGCUUAGAAAGGUGGAGUUAGAAACUCUGAACUCAAACAAAUUGCAAGGAGUAUUUGCUGUUCCUUAUUCCCCGUGAGCACUGUUUGGCAACACUGGUUAUCGGGGAUGGUCUGGAUCUUAAAAAGCAAUGAAUGUGUUUUUCUAUAUGUGGCAAUGCAAUGAUUUUACAGUGACACCGCAGAGACUGACAUCCUCCAGUUUUCCAUUAUUAGCCAGAGCCAUGCAAGCCUUCUACCUUAUGAAUCAGCAGCAUGCUUCUAUUUCCAUCUGGACAGUUGAUGCAUAAGGAUGAGAUCAAAGCACAUCAUGUAAUAAACUGCAAAAGCUACCAAGCAUGAUCCAAGUUCAUUUACACUUGAAGAUGGUUUUGUGUUAAAACAUAUGCUUACUGAUGUUUACUGCUAAAUAUAAUGGCUAUGUUUAACCUUACGUCUGAGAGCAUGUAAAUCCUGGGGUCUGAACAAAAAACUAUUCAGGUGGGAAUGACCACCCUUCUUAUCUCUGCUCAGUGCUCAAAAGCGUGUUAGUUAACACAUGGUGUAAGAUAUUGGAAUUUUUCAGUAUAAGAAGUCUCAAAUGGGUUUUCAAACAUCUUGGCUCGUGAGGCUUUAUUUUCUAGCUCUGGACAGAGUUUUAAAACGUGCUUUCAAAUGUGACUAGCUGUGAUCACAUUAAGGACAAGACAGCAUUGAACCAUGUGCUAGUUAAUAAAUAGUAGAGUACUAUUUUCACUUUUAAGCCAAGCACAAGAUAGAUGCUGGCCAACACGCAAAAGACCUAAACUUCUCUAACUUGGUAUAGAAUUCAUCAUGUAACUAAGUAAAGUAACUACUUCUGUGCUAUGUAGUCUUGGUCAAGUCGCUCAAAAGCUUACCACUUGAGAUUAUGGUUCUGCAGCAGUCUAAAUUAAGCUGUCAGUUUAUGUGGCCUGGCUCUGGCUAUGCAUUCCCAUUCCUUCCUUACACCCAACACAUUGCUCAUUAGACCAUUUGUCAAGCUGUUUACUGAUUUAGGCGAGCACAGAACACCUAACAAAAGUAACAUACUCCUUUCUACGAUCUGGGAUCACAAUAAUAGCUAAAGCUAUGGGUAAGAAGUUAAUUUCACUUUUCCAUUUCAUUUUAGAUAGCUGCAAAUUUCCAAAGUUUUGAGGCUGUUUUGAUUUUGUUUGUUUAUUUUUAAGAAAGGAAAGGAAAAUUUCGGAGAACAAAAUAAAAUGCUCAUUCUCACAUACAAAACAUAAUUCCAACACACUUUUUCUGUUACUGCCAGGUCACUUUCCUUAGGAAAACGUUGAAUCAAAAAUUAAGAAAAUGCCCUUUCUUCUCCCCUGUAGUAGGGUCUGUAGGAUCCAGGGCCUGACUCCAGUAAGACCCUCAGCCUGCCAUGUACAGGACUGGAAGCUGCAGGACGCAGCUGCAGCACCGCACUCUGUGCUGGAGCCCCAUUGCAGACUGCAGUGAUUUGCACAACCCAUUUUUUCCCCUCUGUCUGGGAUCUGGCAAUGACCUCCUGCAACCUAACUGCUCUCCCCACCAGUGUUUGCUCCAGGCUCUGUGUUGACCUGGCUAAUGCUUCUAGCUGCAAGGAGAUGAAAAGAAGGUAAGGAAAACAAAAAGCCAAGGGGGAAAAAAAAAAAAAGCUAGACCUGCAGAUGAAAGUUUGAGGCAGUGUUUUCCUUUCCAAAGUGCUGCUACAUUCCCAUAAACUUGUGGU